GAUUCUGCAUUCUUGGAAAAAAAAAUAUAAAAAAAAAACAGAUAAAGAGGAUGAUGAAGAAAAAAUCUGAUGGUAUCAGGAAUAUAUGCGACAUCAUUCAGAGAAAUGUUUCACUUGAGGAUCAGGCUUUGAGAAGUCACGAAAGGAACCUUCACUCUCAUACUAUAUUUCUGCAGUUACUGCUAUAUCUGUGUGUUUGCAGUGCUGAUAAACGAAGUUUCUCUCCAGGUCACAGUCGAGGGGUUUAUCGGUGGUUCUGUCGUUCUGCCGUGUUCUUCAACUCAACAUGAUCUUAAACUUCAAGACAUUAAUGUGCACUGGAGACACAAUAACAGCAAGAUUGUGUAUGAUGUAGUUGAAGGAAAAGAUUUAACUGCAGCACAGGAUCAGCAGUACAAGAACAGAGCUGAAACUUUCACUAAAGUGUACGAGGGAGGAAACUUCUCUCUCAAAAUCACAAAUCUCACUCAAGCUGAUGCAGGAAAAUACAUCUGCCACAUCACAAACUCAUUCACACUUCAGACUGUACAGCUGGUCAUCAAAGAUAAUGAACAAGAAAAGCCUGACAAUGAGGGGUCCACAUUGCACUGGCUUUACAUUGCUGUACUGUUAAUAGUAAUAUUAAUAGCUUGUUUAAUCAUAUUUCUCUGUAUAAAAAAUGUCUGUCUGGUGCAGGAACACUGAAUGAGAUUUUGAAACAUCAGUACAUCGCUGCCUCAACAGUUUUGUCCCACGAGUGUCCCAUGUUGUGUUUGCUAAAAUAAAAUGUUGGUUACUUGUUUUCCUUUAAAUGUUAUUUCAAAU